rnacentral:rRNA from 1 species
AGAGUUUGAUCCUGGCUCAGGACGAACGCUGGCGGCGCGCUUAACACAUGCAAGUCGUACGCUGGGGCUUCGGCCCUGGAGUGGCGGACGGGUGCGUAACACGUGAGUGAUCUGCCCAGAUGGGGGGGAUACCCAGGGGAAACCCUGGUUAAUCCCGCAUGUGGUUUUGUCCCUUCAUGGGGAUUCAAUCAAAGGUCCUGGCAACGGGACUCUGUCUGGAGGAGCUCGCGGCGUAUCAGCUAGUUGGUAGGGUAACGGCCUACCAAGGCAACGACGCGUAGGGGGUCUGAGAGGAUGACCCCCCACAUGGGGACUGAGAUACGGCCCCGACUCCUACGGGAGGCAGCAGUGGGGAAUAUUGCACAAUGGGCGCAAGCCUGAUGCAGCGACGCCGCGUGAGGGAUGACGGCCUUCGGGUUGUAAACCUCUUUCAGUAGGGAAGAAGCGAAAGUGACGGUACCUGCAGAAGAAGCGCCGGCUAACUACGUGCCAGCAGCCGCGGUAAUACGAAGGGGGCUAGCGUUGCUCGGAAUUACUGGGCGUAAAGGGCGCGUAGGCGGCGCUGUUAGUCAGGCGUGAAAUUCCUGGGCUCAACCUGGGGACUGCGCUUGAUACGGCAGUGCUUGAGGAUGGAAGAGGCUCGCGGAAUUCCCAGUGUAGAGGUGAAAUUCGUAGAUAUUGGGAAGAACACCGGUGGCGAAGGCGGCGAGCUGGUCCAUUACUGACGCUGAGGCGCGACAGCGUGGGGAGCAAACAGGAUUAGAUACCCCCGUAGUCC